UGGACACAUAAAGCUUGGCUCAUGUUUUUUCCUGAACUCUGGAAAUGUAUUGCUUGGCUCAUAAUACAACAGAUAGAGAGUGGCUGGGUACUUACAGAGAGUGUAGUGUUUUUAGUCCUGUAUAGCAAUUGGUACAGAGAGAGUUAAAACUAAAAUAUUUAAUGCGUGAUCAGAAUCUUAAAAAAUAAAUGUAUUCCAGAUUUGGUAAAGAAUUUGAUCUUUUUGUGCUAUUUAACAAAGACUUUGCAUAUGUUUCCUAUGAAUCCUAGCAGCAGAAUCCUAGAGGCUACUAAAGGUUUCAUGGUUCUAAUGAUAAGGAA
rnacentral:lncRNA from 1 species